CAACAAGCAGAGUUCACGGGGUAACAGGCACCUGUUUUAAUUCCUUCGCUGUUUUUGAACAGUCUGUGAUUUGGGAUGGCAAUUACCAACAGCUGUCUAUCCGCUAAUCAGAUAUGGUCCGAGCCCUAGGAGAACACGGGGGCGUCACCCCACAUUCUAAAUCAUAAUCAAACAAUCACCAAAAUAAAGUGUGCAUAAUAAAAUAAAUCACAAAAGGAACACUAUAUAAAAAAAAGAAAAAACAACCAGUGCCAAAUACACACAGGAAAACACAACACAAAAUAAAAUAGACAAGACAAAAAAAGAAACGUAUAAAAGAAUGUUUUGUGAAAAAAUUAUAAGCUGCAUUAAAAAAAAUAACAAUAUAUAUAAGUACUUCUCUUUUAUUUACACAUGUGAAUAAUAAGCAAAAAAAAUAUACAGAAAGUACUCAGGCUUAUUUAUGAAUAAAUUACACACAAAAAAUUAAUAAUGUAUACAACUUAUGCAUUUCAUUUUUAACUUACAUCACAAAAAAUAAACAACAGAAAUUAUGUUGUUUCAUUGACAAUAUGAAAUUCAAAAAAAGAUAUUGAAAAACGUCUCAGGUUAUGAAUGUAACCAUGGUUCCCUGAGUAGGGAACGAGACACUGCGUCCUCUAGGGGUCGCUAUGGGGAACACCUCAUCGUGACCCGUGUCUGAAGCAUACAAUGAAAAAACACCAACGAGUUGGCCGGCGACAGCCUCUGACGUCACUACUGGUGCGACUAUAAAACAGGCACCGGGAAACACGUCAUUCACUUCUUCGUCUGAAGCUUGCGUCCGAACCAUGGCAGGGAGCUAGAGGAUGCAGUGUCUGGUUACAUUACACAUUGGUUACAUCCUCUAGGGGUCGCUAUGGGGAACAGAAUACCCACGCCGCCAUGCUGAGGGGAGUGCAAGCCAGAAUCAUGGCGAACACUAAGUACCAACUCUACCAUUUCAAUGGGAGUUGCCCCCAGGACGUUUAGACGGCUGUCUGUGACAAUACCCCUUACGGCCAAAGGCCUAAGCUACAUACCCAACUUAAUUGUUAGGGCCUCGGCCCUAUCUCCUGCUUUUCCUGGGUAAAAACCCAGCAGAGCACUAACCUCAGUAUCAGAAAGUGUUAAAGAUAUAACAUCAUCCUCCCGAGGCUCUCUCUCGUCCGCCGCCAUUAUGAGUGCGAAAGGGAAAGUCCCUCUUUAAACCAUUCAGACAGAUCCACCUGAAAUUCUCACGAGCUCAUUCUCCUCCGUGCCUCAGCAGCGGCUGUUCCUGAACCGCGGGAAGCAGAUGGCUGCCUUUUUUUCUCGGAAAAAGAGACGAACGAGAGCGGAGCUUUUUCCUUGAAAAA
ensembl:lncRNA